AUCCUCCCUCCUCUCAGGUUGAUUUGCCUUCUAGAAGUUUCUUUCUGACCUUGGAGAAUCCACUGACACUCCCUCUUCUAUCUUCUCAGAUGUGAUGCCUAGGAUAGAAAUACGAAGAUUAGGCUAGUCUCUAAGGACACCUAUCAUGGGUUCUUGGUGCUCAAAGCAGGUGAAGAAGCACAUGACCUGUGUCCAGUCACAGUCUGCAUUCCCCAUGGCCCAUGGAGGAAAGAUGCCCUUCAAGCAAGUGUUUCUUCAAACACUGUCCUACCUAACCGAGCGCUCUGUCUGCCUGGGGAAAUGGCCGUCUGCAGGUCUGUCCAGAAGAGAAGGACCAGUCCAUCAGAAUAACACCAGAGGCUGCAAGGGGAGCAGUUGAAGCGAAGGAGAAUGGCCGGGUUUUGAGGCUCCCCUGAUCCUUGGGGCUCAGGAACUGUCCUCUGCCCAACCAAAUUCACCCGGCUGGCACUCUCUCAAAUCCGGCGGCCACUUCGAAGGAUGAGCCGGAUUGAUUAUGCUCCACACAGACCAACAGCCAACACGCUGUUCUGCUGUUUCGGGACUAGCUCAUAGGCCAGAUUCACCGUGUUCUUGGUUAGAAAACAGACCAGAUGCCCCCUUCUGAGUGACAGUGCACACCUCCGCGUCCCAGAACCUUCACCCGCAUCUCCUUCAGCAGCAUCUCCUCCCUAUCCUCCGGGACCUCGAAGGACAACGGAGCCGAGGGGGCAGCGCGUGACCUCGAGCGGAAGGGCCCCCGUCUGGGUCCUAAUGCGGGUGGCGUCUCUCUUGACAGGCAGCGUUUGGGGACAACAGCGGGGAAGGGAGAUAAGAUGACAUACCAGAGCAGAUUUGGUGUGUGCGCUGAUACUCCUGGCCCGACAGGAAACUUGGAGCUAUUUAAAAGACCCUAUCGAUUACUUUAUCUUCCCUGGAGGAAAGCUUCUUGCCGAGAGACAAAAGAUGUCCCUACCUAAAGAUACAAGGCCACACAGCAGAGGGUUUGCACAGGCGACGUGCAAGUAGAGCUCUGAGAGCGCAAAGAUGCGUUUACACGGGUCGGAAAAUGACUCUGGGUGUCCCACACAGCCAGGCUGGAGGUAGAAGGAUCGAGGGGCAGCGGGGCCACCUCACAGUCCCUGUAAGUUCUGCAAAAGUCCCCGCGCAUGUUGUGCACACUAACUGGUGUGCCUCUGAGUCCCACUCGUUCUCCUCCCAAGUUUACAGGCUCCUUUUAAGGGCUUGAAUGUCUGCAGCCGUCAUGUGCAUCCUGAAAGCGUGGCGUGUGACACUGCAUUCGUUUAGCGUCUCCAUCCCGCUUCUCGCCAACUCGCAGGCCGGCAGAAUGCUGCGGCGCACUCUCCGGUGCCCAGUUGCUGCUGAAGCCUGAAGUUCCGAGCCCCGCCUGCGGACGCUCAGGGUGGACACUGAUCGGACUCAACCGUCCGCAGUCAGGUCUUUUCCCGUGCGACACUUAGCCAUCUACCGGUUUAUAAUCCGCUCGGCCCGCGUGGGAGAAAGCGGCGUUUCCUGCGGGACACCAGCGUACUUUAAGAAUCUUAAGACACGACCUGUAAGGCAAGGACGAUGCAGAAGAGAAAGGGCUACGAUCCUAGGAAGCAUCGAACAUGUGGUGACCGGUCACUUACAUACAGCCUGAUUCCCGCCCACGGGAGACCCCCAGCAGUCCCUGAGGGAGGCGGAGGCUCCGGAGUUGCUGUCUGGGUUUCAACGGCAACAAGCCGGCACAAACUCUUCAACUCCGACCACAGCCCGCGGCGCCCUUGGAGCCCGGGUUCGCCGGCGGCGCUAGAAGUGAAAACCCACGCGUUUCCUGCAGCUACGAGUCCCUGAUCUGAGCGCUCAAGCCCAAGAAGUCUUCAGAGACGCCUCCGGGAGCUCCAAGCCGCCGCACUAGCCUGGGUUGGCUCUAAAAAGCACCGUUUUCUCCUCGCUGCAUCUUGAAUCACUGCCCCACUCCAAUGUCACCUGAUUUUUCAAAUUAUCACCUCCUGAGACGGGAUCCUGAGGGAUCUCCAGAGCCUCCACCGCUGCGUGCUGUUGAUGCUGUAGCAGUUUGCAGCGGUCAGGGCAGGUGGAAAACAGUGUUACAGGAGCUUGGAGCUGAGGAGAAAGAGGACUAAGAUAAGGAAAACCGCUGCAGAGGUCGGGAAGCGGCUCCCAUCAGAUCCAUCAAGUUGAAAUCACAGCGAGUGAGUGACCAAAGAGAAACUUCGCUUUGGAAAUAUCUCCGCCAAAUGCGCGAGAAAAAGUGCGCACAGAAAGAUACAACAAAUUUUGAGUGCCGGCAAAAAUAUAAAGGAGCCUGCAGAAUUUCGAAAAAAAAAAACAAAAACCGCACAUCCUACAAUUUGACACAUUUUCUAUAAGCAUACAAACGAAUAAAAUCUGCAGAGGAUGCACUGCUUCAAGUCUGUGGCAGACCCUGGACCGACUAGCCGGAAGGGUUCAUUAAAAAUGUCAGCGUUUUCUAUAUUACUCUGGCCUUCCACGAGCUUUUCCACGUGCGCAGACUCACGGGACAGUAUACUUACCACCCUGUUGAUUGUAUUCCAAUUAUCAUGUCUCAAUUAAAUGGAUCGCGGUCAACACUUGACCGGCAUACAAGGCCCCUGAGUCCAGUUCCCAGCACUGGACAGAAACAAGUCGACUUUAAAAAAUAAAAAAGCCUUGAAUGAGGCGACUGGCAUACUAAUUCCUCUCUUUUCACAUUUGUUGUUUGGUUUUUAAGAUGAGGUAACUAUUUUUAAAAUAAAGAUAGUCACCGGUC